UGUGUGUGUUGGGAGAAACGAAGACCAUGUCUUUCCCCAAAUGCCGCAUCAGUGCCUAAAAUUUUGCCAUUGCUUGCUCGUCCCUUCCUCUCCAAGAUCGUUUGUUAAAAUAUCAGGAACCUUGAGAACGAUCAUAUAGGUCUAACCAGUCAUUGACUCUUUAAAGUAUAUACGUCUUUCCUGACAGCAAGUUUCCUGAUAGGAGGGUAGGGGGAGACUGGGGCCACGGAUGGCUGUUCAUCUGGUGGCCUGAGUGCGGACACAGUGACGUGUUCUCACACCCAGUUCUAAAGCUAAAUUGCCCUGCUGAGGAAACGGACAGCCCUUUGUCACCCCGAACUGGGCGCAACCAAAGCUCCAUGUUUGUGGGAGUGAAAUCUGAAGCCAGAGUUGUGGAGCUCAGCUCUUAGCAGCUGUUUUCGGGGCUUGGGAUUCAAAGAAUGUUAACUUAAAUGUACCUUAUCAGUAGUUGCUUGAUACAAAGGAAAAAAAAAAUCCCAGAAAAUUUCCUUCAACUAUCCCUAAGGUGACUCUUGUCCAAUGAAAGCGAGGCCUCCAGAAAUCCCAAGCUUAUAGGUAAUAGGGCCUGCCCUCCCAUGGCCGUGUAGUUUAUGAGGAGAACAUCAUUUUAAUUUGCAUUGCUCUCGUCCCCGCUCUUGUAUUCUAAUACCCAGUAGCACGAUAAGGAGAAAGGAACUAAUUUCCAAAUAUUAACAGAGUUGUUCAAGGGACCUGCAUUUUCUGAUGCUGCACAUCUUUUUCAGAAACCUUGCCUGUGGCUGACAGCCUGCUUGGCACACUCCUGCUGAAGUCCUUUGGUGAUGAAGGGCAGGCCUGACAAAUGACCAGAUUCCAGAAACCCUUCUCGUGAAAUCUCAUUCGGAAGCCCUGUGAGUGGAACAGGUCAAAGCGGAGCUUGUAUCUUUGAAGUGGGGGUCUGCUCACCUGUUACCCGCAUAGCCCCUGGAGGCUUCCUCAAAGCGGGUCAGAGAACCACUGAUUGGGUCCAGCCCUUCAUUUCACAGGCUGCUCCAGGUCUUAGCUGCCAUGUGCUGGAUCUUCGUUGCGGCAUGCCUGAUCCUUUAGUUGUGAAGUGAGGAUUAAAAGAAUAAAGGAUAGAGGAAAUGAAGGGAAGAAAAGAGCCAUCAGAGGUGAUGAUAUUGAAGUCUGAUGCUGACCCAAUUCUGAUGCUGACCCAGAGAAAAUUUCACCUGCUUGCAUUUCCACUGACCAACUAAAUAAAGGGCUGGUUAAGAAGCUUUGAGGGACUUCCCUGGUGGCGCAGUGGUUAAGACUCUUCACUCCCAGUGCAGGGGGCCCGGGUUCGAUCCCUGGUCAGGGAAAUAGAUCCUGCAUGCCGCCACGAAGAGUUUGCAUGCCACAACUAAGGAGUUCACGUGCCACAACUAAGGAGCCCGUGAGCUGCAACUAAAAAAAAGGAGCCUGCCUGCCACAACUAAGGAACCCACGUGCCACAACUAAGGAGCUGGCCUGCCACAACUAAGACCCGAUGCAACCAAAUAAAAAAAUAGAUAAAUAAAUAAAUAUUUUUUUUAAAAAAGAAGAAGCUUUGAGACUACUUCUCUUCCAAUCACCACUGGAAAAUACACAUGAGUCUCCCUCCCAUUAGAGACACAUGCUACCAGGGAUAUCCAAGUUCUGCUGGGGAGGAAUUUGGCUCUAAAAAGUCAGAUCUUUUUAGAGCUGGUCCCAUAAACCACAGGCACAGGCCCCACGCAGAGCCUUCCUCUGGGCCUUUUAGAUUGUGUCAGGUCCUAGGGUUGGCAACACCAUCACCUCCACCAAAUGACUCUGCAAGUUUCAAAUCUCCGAAAACAAAGGUCUUGGGAGGAAAAAAGUGGCAGAGAGAUGGAAACGGACCAGGACCCAAGGGCAGAUGCUGGAGGAGGUGCUGCAAUAGCAUCCUUUGUGAAUCCUGUCCAGGUUCUCUGAAUACGCCCUUGAGUUGGGGUUGUGGGUGCAGUGGAAUAAAGACAAUUCAUAGUUAUUGUCUUGGGAGAGGGCAAGGACCUCUCCCAAUAAGGACCCUCUUAUUGCAACAAAGUCUCCAGACUCCUGGCUGGAAGCUGUCCUAGGCCCACGUCUUUCCCUUUGCAAUCCAAGGUCCUUCCACCAGGCUGGGCUUCUGGAGAGCAUCAUCUAGACCCGGGCACCCCAGGCCAGGACAGUGGAGGGGCGGGCUCUGGUGCUGUUGAGGACCUUCACUGCUGGCUUCAGUCAUCUCUCCCAGCUCUGCUCUUCCCUUUGAAGGGAUGCAGUUGACAAGCGGGUCUAUUAGAGCCUUAACUGAAUCGUCAGCACACCAGCCAUUAGCGGCUGCUGAUGAGGGAAUCCAGAGGAUUACAGCAUCAAUUAUCAAGUUUGACUUCUGAACGCGGCUCUGCCAACAGUGGGCUCUCAUGAGAGUCUUUAGAAAAUGUGAUGGAGACAGGGAGGAGAGGCAUGUGCCCAUGGUGUGGCUAUGCCCAGGACAGGCUCUUACGGGGCCUGCUCUAUGUGGCUACAGGUCCCGGGGCAGCCAGUGCAUCGGAGACAGAAGAGCAUCCCACUCACAGGCCUGCAUGCCUCUCUCCCAGACCUUUACAGCUUCCUGAAAAUGCAUAUGCUUCUUUGCCUCCCACAGCUGUUUCCUCCGUAAGUCUUGCCAUCUCAUCCGUGGUCUUCCUUAAUGCCUUCAGUCAAAAUCAUUCCCAAGUUUCCCGUCAUCCACAUCCAUCCUAAGAGUCACCGAGUCCUUGGAAUGCCAACUUGUUAAUAUCUCUCUGGACUCCUCUUCCUUUCCUUCUCCUACUACUUUAGUUCAAGCCCUCAUCAUCACCAUGGAAAUGGUCACGUAGGGAAAUUGGUCUCUCCAUCUCCAGUUCAUCUCCUCACCUAUGUCCAAAUCAUUCUCUUUCUAAAAAGCAAAUUUGAUUGUCACUUCUCAAAACCCUUCAGGGAUCCUUAUAGCUUACAGGAGAAAGCAUGAUUUUUCAGUAGAGCAUUAUAGGAUAGGACCUCCAUGAUCUUGGAUCCUUGCAUCUCACCCUCAUAGUCCCUCAUUCUCUGCUUUUCAAAUCUAGCUGGAGCCACAGCGCACUGCCUGCCCUUCCCUAAAGUACCAGAAUGUUGGGGUCAUCAUCUUACUUUGCACAUGCAGAUGUGUCUACCUGGAGUGCCUUCCCCCACUGGAUCACAUGGGAAACUUGUACCUGUCUAUUAAGUCUCAUGUAAGAAUUCUUCCUAAUUCACCCCUUCUUUCCCGGGAGCCCUGUACAUAGUUUUCUCCUAGCACCUAAUCACACUACAAUUAUAAUUAUUUAUUUGUCUCCCCUACUGGACUUUGAGAUCAUUAAGGACAUCAGCUUCAGUAUUUAUUUCUGGAAGCCUCGGGUCGAGCACACAUGUCUAGCGCAUCAAAGACAUUCAGUAUGCUACCAUUACUACAGUGUGUGCUUGACCAAUGGAUUAGAAUACUGACGAUGUUUCUUCCAGUUCCUUUCAUGGAUCUGUAUUGAUGUGCAUUUUAUUAUUCUAUGUGGGAUUGUUAGUUGUUCACAGUCUAAUUCUUUCAAACCCAAAGAGAAAUGUUUUAGCUGUCAGAAAUACCCACCCUCUACCCCAAGAGCUCAGCACAUGACCUUGGGAUCCUUGAAUAUUUAUGGAAUUGAACUAAAAUCUGCAAGUGUUAAUUGAGCCUCUUGUUCUACUGAGGCCCUAGAAGGAGGUGCUUGGGGAAAAUGUCAGACUGUAAUAACCUAUAUGGGAAGAGAAUCUGGAAAAAAAAAGGAUAUAUGUCUAUGUGUAACUGAAUCACUUUGCUGUACACCUGCAAGU